UUAUGGGUUCAGGUAAUUUAUCUAUGUA
rnacentral:sRNA from 1 species